rnacentral:rRNA from 1 species
AGAGUUUGAUCCUGGCUCAGGACGAACGCUGGCGGCGCGCCUAACACAUGCAAGUCGAACGAGCGAGAGAGAGCUUGCUUUCUCGAGCGAGUGGCGAACGGGUGAGUAACGCGUGAGGAACCUGCCUCAAAGAGGGGGACAACAGUUGGAAACGACUGCUAAUACCGCAUAAGCCCACGGUUCCGCAUGGCACAGAGGGAAAAGGAGCAAUCCGCUUUGAGAUGGCCUCGCGUCCGAUUAGCUAGUUGGUGAGGUAACGGCCCACCAAGGCGACGAUCGGUAGCCGGACUGAGAGGUUGAACGGCCACAUUGGGACUGAGACACGGCCCAGACUCCUACGGGAGGCAGCAGUGGGGAAUAUUGCACAAUGGGGGAAACCCUGAUGCAGCGACGCCGCGUGGAGGAAGAAGGUCUUCGGAUUGUAAACUCCUGUUGUUGAGGAAGAUAAUGACGGUACUCAACAAGGAAGUGACGGCUAACUACGUGCCAGCAGCCGCGGUAAAACGUAGGUCACAAGCGUUGUCCGGAAUUACUGGGUGUAAAGGGAGCGCAGGCGGGAAGACAAGUUGGAAGUGAAAUCUAUGGGCUCAACCCAUAAACUGCUUUCAAAACUGUUUUUCUUGAGUAGUGCAGAGGUAGGCGGAAUUCCCGGUGUAGCGGUGGAAUGCGUAGAUAUCGGGAGGAACACCAGUGGCGAAGGCGGCCUACUGGGCACCAACUGACGCUGAGGCUCGAAAGUGUGGGUAGCAAACAGGAUUAGAUACCCUGGUAGUCCACACCGUAAACGAUGAUUACUAGGUGUUGGAGGAUUGACCCCUUCAGUGCCGCAGUUAACACAAUAAGUAAUCCACCUGGGGAGUACGACCGCAAGGUUGAAACUCAAAGGAAUUGACGGGGGCCCGCACAAGCAGUGGAGUAUGUGGUUUAAUUCGACGCAACGCGAAGAACCUUACCAAGUCUUGACAUCCUGCGACGAUGCUGGAAACAGUAUUUUCCUUCGGGACGCAGAGACAGGUGGUGCAUGGUUGUCGUCAGCUCGUGUCGUGAGAUGUUGGGUUAAGU